UCAAAGUACCAGCUUCUAGUCUUAUUUAUUAAAUCAAUAGUUCUGUUACUUUCAAUUUUAUUAAUUUCUCCUUUGAUUUUUAGUAUCUCUAAUUUAAUCUUCAUCUGAGGAUCUUUAAUUUGUUCGCUUUCUAGUUUUUUUUUUUUUAAUUUGCAUGCCCAAUUCAGACCUCUGCCCUUCUUAAUUUGUUAAUAUAUGAACUCAAGGAUAUAAAUUUGCCCCUGAGUACUGAUUUGGCUGCAUCCCAUAGGUUUGGAAAGGAUGCCUCAUCAUUGUAAUUUUCUUCAAUGAAGUUAUUGUUUCUAUGAUUUGUUCUUUAAUUAACUGGUUUUGGAGAAUCGUAUUGCUUAAUUUCCAAUUAAUUUUUGAUUUACCUCUCCAUGUACCCUUACUAAUUAUUAUUUUCAUUUCAUUAUGAUCUGAGAAGGUUGCAUUUAUUAUUUCUGCCCUUUUGCACUCAUUUGCAAUGUUUUUAUGCCCUAAUCCAUGGUCAAUUUUUGUGAAUGUACCAUGUGCUGCUGAAAAGAAGGUAUAUUCCUUUUUGUCCCUAUUUAUUUUUCUCCACAUGUCUACUAACUAAUUUUUCUAAGCUUUCAUUCACUUCUCUUAUCUCUUUCUUAUUUAUUUAUUUUUUUAUCUAGUUCUGAUAGAGGAAGGUUCAGGUCUCCCACUAGUAUAGUUUUUCUGUCUAUUACAUCCUUGAGCUUCUCUAGUUUCUCCUUUAGAAAUUUGGAUGCAUACAUGUUGCGUACAGAUAUUUCCUCAUUGUUUAUACUACCUUUUAUCAGGAUAUAAUUACCUUCCCUAUCUCUUUUAACUAGAUUUAUUUUUACUUUGGUUUUGUCAGAUAUCCUGAUUGUGACUCCUGCCUUCUUUUUAUCAGUUGGUGCCCAGUAGAUUUGGCUCCAUACUCUUACUUUUACCCUAUGCAUAGCUAUCUUCCUCGUGUGUAUUUCUUAUAAACAGCAUAUGGUAGGGUUUUGGAUUCUAAUCCACUCUGUUAUUCGCUUGCGUUUUAUGGGUGAGUUCAUUCCAUUCACAUUCAGAGUUAUGAUUACUAGCUGUGUAUUUCCCAGCAUUUUGAUUUCUACUCCUGGUCCUGCCUUUUCUACUUUCACUAUUUCCUUCUACACCAAUGUUUGUUUUUAAUCAUUCCCCCUAGUUCCCACCCUUAUUUUACUUCCUUUUCUAUCCCCCUCCCUUCUUAUUCCCCCCCUUAUUUUCCCUGUAGUCUUUAUAAAAAUUUCCCCCCACCCUCUCCCUCCCUUUUACUGCUUCCCUCCCCACCAGUCCUUUUGUUACUCUUCUACUCCCCUAUAGGGCGUAAAUAUAUUCUCUGCCCCAAUGGAUUGGAUUGUUCUUCCCUCUUUGGGUCAGUUUCAAAGCACAUAAGAGCUGAGUAUUUCCUAUCUCCAACCUCUUUACCCUUCCAGUGUGUUGAUGUUCUUCCCACCUCCCCCCGCCAUAAGCUUCUUUGUGACAAAUAAAUUUAUCCCCAUUUGUUUCUUUUCCCAUUUCUUUUAGUAUUAACCUCUUUUUUAGCUCUAGUUGUGCAUAUAUAUAUAUACACACACACAUGUAUAUGUAUUUAUGCAUGCAUAUAUCUAUAUGCCUAUUUAUGUCUUGUCCUUUCAUCCUAUACAGUUUGUCACUGUUCCCUCUAAGUGUAAUUCUUCUAGCUGCCCAGGUGAUAGCAACAGUUUUUAAGAGUUACCAAUGACCUCUUUUCUUAUAGGGAUACAUAUCAUUUUAACUUAUUGAGUCUCUUAAAAACAUUUUUUGUUUUGUUUUUCUUUUCCCCCUCUUUUUAAUUACCUUUUGAUGAUUCUCUUGAGUUCUGUGUUUGGACAUCAAAUUUUCUGUUCAGGUCUGGUCUUUUCUUUAUGAAUGCUUGGAAUUCUUCUAUUGUGUUGAAUAACCAUACAUUCCCCUGUAAGAAUAUAGUCAGUUUUGCUGGGUAGUUGAUUCUUGGUUGUAGACCUAGUUCCCUCACUUUCUGGAAUAUCAUAUUCAAUGCCUUUUGGUCCUUCAAUGUGGAUGCAGCCAGAUCCUGCGUUAUUCUCACUGUGGUUCCUUGGUAUCUGAAUGACUUCUUCUUGGCAGCUUGUAAUAUCUUUUCUUUGGUCUGAUAGUUUUUGAGUUUGGCUUUAACAUUCCUGGGCAUUGUCAGUUGGGGAUUAAAUACAGGAGGUGAUCUGUGGAUUAUUUCAGUCUCCACUUUUCCCUCUUGUUCUAGGAUAUUGGGGCAGUUUUCCUGAAUAAUUUCCUGUAGUAUUAUGUCCAGGCUUUUUCUUUUGUCAUGGUCUUCUGGUAGACCAAUGAUUCUUAAAUUGUCCCUUCUCGAAUGGUUUUCUAAAUUGUCUGUUUUGUGAAUGAGAUGCUUCAUAUUUUCCUCAAUUUUUUCAUCCUUUUAAUUUGUUUUAUAGUGUCAUGCUGCCUUGUGAGGCCACUUAAUUCCAGUUGUUGUAUUCUGGUUCUUAAAGACUGGAUUUCAUCCCUGGCUUUUUGGUCAUCCUUUUCCUUCUGGUCUGAUUUUCUUUGAAGGUCAUCAUUCAUCCUCUUUACUUCAUCUUUCAUCUCCUUUGUCUCAUCUUUCGUCUUCUUUGCCUCAUCUUUCAUCUCCUUUGCCUCAUUUUCCAGCUGGUUGAUUUUGGCUUUCAAGACACUAUUUUCUUGUUUUAGUUCAAAUGCCUCUAUUUCCAGGUGACUUAUCUUAAUUUUGAAGUUCUUUUCCUAAUUGUCUUCAGCCUCUCUUAAUUGUGUUUUGAGUUCUUCCACAGCCUGUAUCCAAUUCACUGGGAUUUCUGAUUUAUCGUUUGCUGAUCUCUUCCCCUCUCUUCCAUUUGCUGAAUAGAAGCUGUCUAUUGUAGUUUCUUUCUUCUUUUUCUGUUGUUUGCUCAUAUUCACCCCUUCUUUACUCCCCGUAUUUAUCUGUGCUCUUGCUCCUCUCAUUUUUUUGGUUUUGGGGGCUUCUGUCAGUCUCCCUUCUUGGAGCUUUAACAGAAAAUCUCUUGGUGUAGUCUCUGGGGGAGGGUUGUUAGGGGUUUGAGCUUCCCUGUCCUCUGGAGGCUUUUGAUUGGCUUAAAGUCCAGCAGUCAAUGAGGAUGGGUGUGGAGCCUGAGCUUCCCUGAGUUCUGGAGAUUUUUGAUGAGAUUAAGGUCAGCUUAGUUGGGCUGGGUGUGCUCUGAGUCCAAAAACUCCUGGAAGGCUGGAGCAUAUAUGGAGGAUCUCCACAGCUCUGGCCAGGCUGCCAGGUCUAUGUUCCCUCUCUAGUUCCUUCCCCACUGUCUGUGUUGGACGCUCUGAACUUGGCACAGCCCUGUCUACAAGGUAUACCCUUCAGACCAGCACCUUUGCCCGCCCAGAAGUUCCCGCUGCCGCUGGAGUCUCAGCACUGUAGGUGGAAGGGGGGAUGGAUCCUGGGACCUUCCUUCUGUCUUCCCCUUAAAUCCGAGUGUUCUUGGAUUUUGGCUUUUCGGGGGGCGUACCUUUUAAAUUAAGUCCAGCAGGAGGGUUCCUUUGCUCUGUCUUGUUGUUAAGUUUGAUUUUCAGUUCCCUAGGAGCAUUCAGUUUGUGAUCAGUAAGGAAGGGUAUUCAGAGGUCUGUACUUCUGCUCCUUCUAGGCUGCCAUCUUGACUCCUCAAAAAUUUUUUUAAAGAUAGCCUAGAUAAUUUUUAAGCCAUGUUUCUCUUGACAAGGCUUUUCAGCAAAGCUGAUUCUGAUUUAUCUUUUUGCCUACACUCACAAAGCUUCUGAUUCAACUCGCUCCUGCUGCCUGCUUCUGUGCUCCAGCCAUCCGCUCCUGCCUGCAGUCAUCCACUCUGGACCUGCUUGAUCCAGAUUGCUCCCUUGGUUCCAAUCCACCCUGGCCCCGAACAAGCUGAUUUCCAGCCUCCGAGCCAGAUCGUCCCAGACCAACCCCAGGACCUAGGCUGCUGGUAGCUGCUCCUGUGUCUUCAGGAAUCACAAACCAACUGGUAAAAACUGGGGUGUCCUUUCCUUAGGUAACAAUUAGCCUCCAAAUGGCAGGGGACCACAGGGGGGUGGGAGAAGGAAGAGACUUUUCCAAACAGGAAGUUACAAGUAUGGCAUAUUCUAUGAGAGAGGAGUGCAUUUCCUAUUUCAAAGGAUAUUUUUUGAGUUCAGUAAUACUUUUAUUCAUCUCACCUGAGAUUCAGGAGAGAAAUUCAUCUCCCUGCAACUCUUUGCCAUUUAGGCCUGCCCAAUUUGAGAUUCCAAAAACUCAUGUUUACCCUUGCUAUGGGAUAUUUGUCAGUCUGACAAAAGGCAUCGCAAUGGAUAAAACAAAAAAAUGAACUUUAAAGAGAUUGGAGGAUAUAUUUUUAAGGCUUUUCAGAUUCCGAUGUUUUAUAAAAAUCUCUGUAUUUUAUUGCAUUUUUGGAUUGUUUUGUUUAAGAUUUAAUUUUGUGGUUUUUAAGUUCAUAUAUUAAUGUAUUCAAUACUAUUUUGUUACACUGAAUCAUUUUAAUGUACUGGGUUUUAACUAUUAUUAUAUCCUAUUGCUUUUCCUCUAUAACUAUAAUGAAGAAAUAUUACUGAAUAAGCCCAUAUAUAAAAACAGCAUUUUCUAUUUUGACUUUGUAAAUUGUCACAUAGAGGAUGGAUGGCCUUCCUCAAAAACCUGGUUACAAUUGUAUAACAACCUUUGAAAAAUUUAAUGAGCUAAAUAUCUCAAAUUGAUUUUAAGGGGUUUUAGACAUGAUUUUUAGAUUUUUUUCAAAAACUCUGAUCAUUUUGCCUGCCUCUAACAGGAGAUAAGGUCCAUUUUAGCAGCUGAAGUGAAAUACAAUUAUAAUCCCCACCUCCCACAUUUAUAAAAAUGUGAAUGGAUGGGACAUCAUAGUCUCAUACCAAAGGAAAUGGGAAGUUAAUCCCAGGGCAUCGUACCUCUGAAUGGCUCCCAAAAGAGGACCAUUUCUCAUUUAUAACUCUUCAGCUCACUUUACUUCCAUCGGAAUGAUCUCUAGUUUUCUUGAUGAUGUUCUAGACCCAAAUAAGUUUUACUUUGUUUAAAAAUAUGUUUGCCAAGGUUGAAAGAUUUGCUAAAUCUGUAAAAAUUGUGACAAAUAUCCAUCAGUUCAUAGGCUUUUAAAAAUGUCACACAGCAACUUAUAUGAAAUAUGAUAGUGGGUUUGUUUGCUAUUAUAAUUAAUUGGGGUAUUGCGAAUUUGGGGGAUAUUGAUACCUUUUUGAAUGUGCAUUACAUGUGGUACUACUGUUAUUUAUAAAAAAACUGUUACCUUGUGAAAUUCAUUUGCUUGCACUCACAGUGGAUCAUGGCCAGGUAUGAAGAGGAAAUGAAUCUCAUUUGGGGGGAUAAAGCUUGUAUUCUAUAUUUCCUUAUCUGGCACAGUGUGUCAAUGAUUAUAAGCUAUAUUUUUUAUUUUUAAAAACUCUUUUAUUAUUAUAUUUUUCUUGCAUGUGAAAUAUACUAUUUUAGUUUUUUCUUUCCUUUUUUAUUUGAAACACGUUACCAGUAUUAAGAUUUGCUUGAACUUUUUUGAUUUUGCAGUAAUAUAAGUUUAAAAUAUAUUUGCUAUAAUGUCAAUGCAUACCCCAAAAGCUUGAGACUAUUAAAAUGAUGCCACUGAUUGUUUAAAAAAAAUUAUGGGACUUUGCUUAAUGAUUCUGUCUGAUUCCAGGACAUGAGAAUACCAAAAAAAAAAAAAAAGCUAAACUGCACGGUGCCAAAGGAGCACAGAUUUAACCUAAAUAGUGCCAAAAGAGUACACAGGUAAAAAAAGAAGAAGCCAAUCCAGAUAGGAUUGAUGCACUUCUAAGCCAAUACUAAGGACUUGAAUCUAGUGUGAAACUAGAAGUUGUGACGCUUGACAUAUGUUAAGAUGUACGCCAUCCUUGUAUCCACCCUCUUCGUGAAAAUACUUACAGACAAGUAGCAAAGUUUGGCUAUCAUCCUGGUUCCCUCUAUCCCUGAAAAUGAAGGUAAAAUCAGACCAGGGAACGACACUUCCCUAUCAAAAUAAAAAUCUAGUCCCUUUUCUGUCUUUCAUAAUGUGGCAACUUUUUGGAGUCCUGGCUACUGAUUUCAUUGGGUAAAUGUGUAAAUGUUUAUGUCAUUUUAAUUGGGCCCUGAUUCAAGGACCUGUUAUAGAUUUAUUUUCCCUUAGAAUUUUUACACAUAAGACUUUGAUAAUCUAUAUUUCAUCCAGAAAUUAUCUUUUUUAUUUGGAUUUUUUUUUAUAUUUUUUAUUUCUCUUGCCAAUUGAUUCACAUACCUCAUAACUCAGCCAUGCAUCCCUAAGUGGUCCCUGUGUUUUUCAAUCACCCUCUUCAGGGGGGAUGUAUAAUUAUUAUUAUUUUAAAUUGCAAAGUUUAAAUUCCUUUUGAGAUGAAUUUCAGGAUAGGAAACUUGUUACUUCUCCGAAUCCAGAAAGUGAACUGUUUUGGAGAAGGCGCCAUGAAGAUGCCUCCACGACCACAAGCUGCACUAGAAGAUCCAGAGUGAACUUUGGGAUGUGGUGAUUUGAACUGUGUGGGGUUUGAAUGCAUUUCUUUUGUAUGUAUACUCUUUUUGUCAAUGCACCUAGCAAUCUUUGGUUUUGUUCUCUUUUCCUCUUAUCCUCAAAUUAUUUUAAUUUCAAAGCUGGCAUAUUUACAAGACCCAUCGGAGAGACUAGCCUUCCUCGGCUCUCAGGGGGAAUGUAAAAGUGGAGAUUUUGAACCCUAGACUUCAAUCCCCAGAAGUCCUUGGUAUUUCCCAGAAUUCUCUAUAAUCUCACCUGAGUCUCCACCUGGGCAAGAUCACAAUUAGUAUUUAACUGGCAGUAAUGCCUACCUCUCUCUCUCUUCCAUUGCAAUGAUGUAGUAAGUAAGCUUUGAAUGGACUAAUCAGCCCUGGGCAUGUGGUUUCUUAUUUUGUAUUUUCUUUAUUCCGUGAUUUCUAAUAAUCCUUAAUGAACCUCAUAAAAUAUAAUAUUUUUAUUACUAGAGACAUUUAAUUUUUAUACCUUGUACAGUAUUUUCCCAGUUAUUAGAAUAUACUUUUACCUCAAUUCAGCCUCUUAGAAUCUUCUGUUGUUGUUUAGUAAUUUUCAGUGGUUUUGACUCUGUGGUCCCCUUCAAGGUUUUCCUGGCAAAGAUAUUGGAAGGGUUUGCCAUUUCGUUCUCAAGCUUAUUUUACAAAAGAGGAAACUGAGGCAAAUAGGAUGAAGGGGCUAGCAAGAGGUCUUAUAGCUAGGAAGUAUCUGAGGCCAGAUUUGAACUCAGGAAGAAGAGUCUUCUUGACUCCAGUGUUAGUACUCUGUCCACUGUGCCACCUAGCUGCCCCUUAGAUUCUUUAGUUUUCUUCAAAGCUCAGCUUAGAUAAGAUCUUUCCUGACCCUCCUCCCCAGAAAUGAGUACUUCCCACCAAAAAGAUUAUCUUUUGUUUAUUUUGAGUUGUAGCCUUUUCUGGUAGGCUGAACGUAGAUCUUGAAACCGAGAAACUUUGAGUUCAAGUUCUGCCUCUGAAACCUCCUGACUUUAUGUACCUGAACAAGUCACUCAGCUUCUCAAAGUUCUAGACAAGCAGGCUGUUUUCUUCUCUGAGUUUUCUAUGCUAAUGAGACUUCUGGUCUGGUUUCUAUCCCUCUCCUAUUCAUUCUGUAUUAGCUUUAUCGUGUACAUAUUUUUAGUUUUACCAGUGGAGUAUAAACUCUUUGAUGGCAGAGACUCUUUCAAACAUUUUAAAUAUUUAUUUUAUAUUUUUAAAUUUUAUUGACAUUUAUUAUUAUCAUAUAUUUAUAAUUAUAUAUAUAUAUAUAUUUGUAGCCCAGGGCCUGGCACAUAACAGAUGCCUGCUGAUUGAUUGACUGACACCACGAUCCAUCCCCUGGGAAAUAUUUUUAAUGGCACCUUUGUUGAGGAAUGCAGGCAUCAUGUGAACAGUCCCACUGGCCCAGAGAUAAAUCUCAAAAGACAUUUCUGAGAAUUCUCGGAAUAACGGUAACUCGAGAGUCAUAUCAAAUGAAAAUACAUUUCCUGUAGCUAAAUGCACUCUUUUCAUUCUUCAGCAGGGAAUCCUUUGCAGCUCCGCAGAAGGGAAAGAGAAAAGAAUUGAGUAUUUUUGGUCGCCACAGUCUUACCGCCCUACUCUUUACUAGCGAAUGGCUUGCCUGGAAAUCUAUGGAAGAGACCCAAAGAAGAAGCACGAAGAGAAAGCUAUGUACAUUCAUUGUGGUAUUAGCCUUCUGAAUAUUUCUCUCUGUGACAGGCGGCCAUGUUGCAGUGCUGGUGGGGAAUGGGACAACAGGGAGAGGUUGAUUCAAACUCCUCAUUACACUGUAUUAAAUAACUUGAUAUUAUCAUUAAUUAAUCCUUGUCAUCCACAGAUGGAAAUUCCAAGUUACUGAUUCAAGUUAAUUCAAUCAACUUUUAAAAAUCUUUUUUCUCCAUAUUGACGUUGGCAAACAUUAAUAAUCACAAGCACUUCCAUCAACUUAGAAGAACAGAAAAAGAUUAUAUGUGAGACUACACAUGUCUAUUACAUAUAGCUUUUAAAAAGAUGUAUCUUUUCUUUUUUUAACCCCUCACCGUCUGUCUUGGAAUCAAUACUGUGUAUGGUUCCAAGGCAGAAGAGUGGUAAGGGCUAGGCAAUGGAGGUUAAGUGACUUGCCCAGAGUCACACAGUUGGGAAGUGACUGAGAUCAGAUUUGAACCCAGGACCAUCCCAACAUUCCUUCUUUGGCUGUGGAUAACAUUUUCAUCAUGGGUUUAUCUUGGAGACUUGCUUUACUAAUAAUGGGUUAGUCCUUCACAGCUGAUCAUCAUGUUUCUGUUACUGUAUAUGUUAUUCUCCUGGUUCUGCUCACUUCACUUUGCAUCAGUUCAUAUAAAUCUUUCCAGAUUUUUCUGAACUGAUCUCGUUCCACAUUUCUUGUGACUCAAUAGUAUUCUAUUACAACCAUAUUCCACAACCUGUUCUUCUCUUCCCCAAGUGAUGGAAAAUCCCUCAGUUUCCAAUUCUUUGCCGCUACAAAAAAAGCUGCUAAAAAUAUUUCGGUACAGGUAGGUCCCUUUCCCUUAUCUCUGAUUUUUUUUUAGAAUACAGACUCAGUAGUGGUAUUACACUGGGUUAAAAGAUACACAUAAUUUUAUGGCCCUUUGAGUCUAGUUCCAAAUUGGUCUCUGGAAUGGUUGUAUCAUUUUACAGUUCCAACAACAAUGUACUGGUGUCCCAAUUUUUCCAUCUUCCCUCCAACAUUUUUUCGUUUUCCUUUUUGGUCAUGUUCACCAAUCUGAAAGGUGUGAGGUGGCAUCUCAGAGUUGUUUUAACCUAUGCUUCUCUAAUAAGUUAUUUGGAGCAUUUUUAUAUCACUACGGAUAAUUUUAAUUUUUUCUCUGAGAAUUUCCUGUUCAUAUCCUUUAAUCAUUUAUCAACUGGGGAAUACUUUGUAUUUUUAUGAAUUUGACUCAGUUCUCCAUAUAUUUAAGAGAUGAGGCUUUUAUCAGAGACACUUGCUGUAAUUUUUUUCAGAUUUGUUGUUUCCCUUCUAGUCUUGGUUGCUUUGUUUUCAUUUAUACAAAACCUUCUUAAUUUAAUGUAAUCACAUUAUCCAUUUCAUUUUUGGUGAUGGUUUCUAGGUCUUCUUUGGUCAUAAAUGUUUCCCUUAUCCAAAACUCUGACAGAUUUCCCUAAUUUGUUUAUGUUGUAUCCCUUUAUUUCUAGGUCAAGUCUUUAUUUUGAUUUUAUCCUGGUUUAUGAUAUGAGAUAUUGGUCUGUGACCACUUUCUGCCAUACUGUUUUCCAGUUUUCCCAGCAGUUUUUAUCAAAUGUGAGUAUCUUUGGGUUUAUUGGACACUAAGUUGCUAUGAACAUUAACUGCCAUAUAUAUAGAUUUUUUAAAGGCUAUGUUCAUGCUCUUUACCUCCUUUUCUCUGCUUCUGGACUUCCCUGUCUUUCUUCAAGAUUCAAUUCAGAUAGGGGCAGCUAGGUAGCUCAGUGGAUUGAGAGUCAGACCCAGAGAUCCAGAGAUGGGAGGUCCUGGGUUCAAAUCUGGCUUCAAACACUUCCUAGCUGUGUGAUCCUGGGCGAGACACUAACCCCCAUUGCCUAGCCCUUACCACUCUUCUGCCUUGGAAUCAAUACAUAGUAUCGAUUCUAAGACAGAAGGUAAGUGUUAAAAAAAAAGAUUCAAUUCAGAUCCCACCUCCUGAUGGAGGACUUUCUCCAUCUUCCCAGCUAUUGAUUCAGACCUUCCCCUCUGAUUGUAAGCACCUCCUAUUUUUUUACACCAUCUAUAUCUUAUAAACAUGGAGUUAAUUGCAUGUCGUCUCCUCCAUUAGAAGGUCAGCUCUUUGAGGGCAAGCGCCUUGAUUUCUAUUCCCAACAUUUAUCACAGCAUCUGGCAUAUAAUGCUUUAGAAAUGCUUGUUGCUAGAGUCAUCAUUUAUGCCAAUGUACUCGUUGCUUUGACUGCUCACGUAGUAGAGAGGACUGACAGGUCGGCAUUACCCUAGCGAGUUCCAUGGAGAUUUUUUGGACCCAGGUUUUUGUGAUAGCCGGGUCUUGCACGAGUGACGAGGCAGAGAGGUACCAUGCUAUUGAAGUCCCAACAUGAGAUUCCCUGGCCAUCCAAAGUGAAUUUCACCAAGUCCAUAGGAAACAAGAUUCUUUUCAUUAAGCGUCCUUCCUUGAAUAUUAGUCUUCUGCAUGAAACAAGGGCACAGUGGAUAGAAUGCAAGUCCUAGAAUCAGGAAGGUUCCUCUUCCUGAGUUCAAAUCUGGACACUUAUUAACUGUGUAACCCUGGGCAAGCCACUUCACUCUGUUUGCCUCUGUUUCCUCAUUUGUAAAAUGAGCUGGAGAAGGAAAUGGCAAAUCUCUCCAGAGUCUUUGCCAAGAAAAUCCCAAAUGGGAUCACAAAGAGUCAGACACGGGUGAAAAAUGGAUAAACAAUAACAUGAAAUAGAUCAGUGCUCCUAAGUUAGUGUGGGAAGGAAAACUUUGGAAAUUCUUUUUUUAAACCCUUACCUUCUGUCUUGGAACCAAUGUUGUUCAUUGGUUCCAAGGCAGAAGAGCAGUAAGGGCUAGGCAAUGGGAGUUCAGUGACUUGCCCAAGGUCACACAGCUAGGAAGUGUCUGAGGUCACAUUUGAACCCAGGACCUCCCAUCACUAGGCCUGGCUCUCAAUCCACUGAGCUACCCAGCUGCCCCUAAACUUUGGAAAUUUUAACCUGUAAUCCUUUCUGCUCUCCCUCCCUCCAAAAAUUCUGAACUAAAAUUUACUCCCUCCCCAAUUAAUAAGAAAGUAUGGUGAACUGCCAAGGACUGCUUUCAUUUGAAAUCACCCAACCUGAAAGCUAAGAUUGCUUUCAGUUCUUUUGGUUUGCCCAGCCAACCCUUUCUGAGGAAAACUGAGUUUUGUGCCUUGGUUUCCCACUCUUGUAUAUUCAGCGAUGGAGACAUUUCCCAUUUGUAACGUAUAUUAAUGCUACUAGAUGUUUCUUCAACUUUCCCCCGUCCCAGAGAGUGCAAGUCCUAGAAUCAGGAAGAUUCCUCUUCCUGAGUUCAAAUCUCCCCCACCCACAUUCAGCAUUAAGUGGCUCUGAAUUCAACAAAAUGAAGCUGAACUAUGACCUCCAGAAUGGAAAUCAGAGCCCAGCGGCCCCAAUAGGUCCUCCAUUUGUAGGUCCUUGAUUUGUUGACACUGGAAGUCCUCUUAUGUUAAGAAAGCCAAUGGCAAAGAGCCUCUUGUUUUACGAUGUCAAGAUGUUUAUUUCUGAGAUAAUAGAGUAGUCGCUCAAUUAUCUUCUUGUUGACAUUUGUUGAAUUGAACCCCCAAAUGGCAAUAAGGCAAGAAAAACAUCCUCCAGAUUUAACCUUCUUUCUUGAUUCACAUCCCACCAGGUCACAUUUUUUUUGCAGACAUGCUGGGGACAGGGCUAAGGAGGAGGGCCAGCGAAGGGGACAGAUAUUUUUCUUCCUUUGAUGGGGAGCUCAUUCUGCCUUUGGAUGGUUAGAGGUGUCCAUCAGUGGAAUAGUUUGCCUUGGGAGAUCUUGAAGCUCCCUGACUGAGUGACCACUACCCUAGUAUGCUGCAUGUUUCUCAUUCAGCUCCUAGCUGGACUAGAGGGCUCCAAGGUCUCCUCCCACUUGGAGACUCUGGGAUUCUGGACCCCAUCAUGCCUAGUGACAGGAGGCACUUAAGGAUGCUUGUUUAAUGCGGGAUGAAUGGGUUUGUCUGCCUUAAAUACAAAUGUGUUUUAGAUUCAGGAGUUACCUAGAUUUUGUCAUUUCCUUUGAUUUUAGCCCCACAAACAUGAACCCAGAGCAAAUCAUCCUCUUUUCCCAAACCCAGAAUUUUAACUGAGUAAUGACUUUUUAAAAAAUAGCGCAAGGAUGCCUCGGUUUAGAGACGCAUGAUUCUCUUCCUCUCUUGUGAGACCUAGCAUAUCAAACACUGGACUCCAGGUCAUCUCAUUUCAAAUUCUUACUGGACGUGUGACUUCGGGUAUGUUCUUGGAUGUCUCUGAACUCUAGUUUUCUCAUCUAAAAAACGGGAAUAAUAAUUUCACCUACUCCUAAGGGUUUUUUUGGGCAUCAAAUGAGAGAAUGUGUCUAAAGUGCUUCACAACUCUUAAUGCAUUAUACAGUCCCACAAUUCAUAGUAUCAGACCACCACAGACUGUUCAGGACACCCAACUUGAAAUUUACUAAAUGCUUCUCUGAUAUUCUGAGAGGGCUGAUUAAACAAAGUCAAUAUAUUAUAAUGGAAAGAGCCAUGGGCUAAGGAUCUUGCUUUAGCCCCCUCUGGCUGUGUGACUGUGAGGGCAAGGGCCUUGCAUAGAGUAGAUGCCCAACAAAUAUUUGUCAAAUUGAACUGAAUCAAAUUCGACAUUUUUAAUUUCUGUGGGACUCAGUUGCUUCACUUGUAAAAUAAAUAUAAUAUAAUACUGUACUGGCCUGAAAAGAAAGGAGCCCAACCAUGUGAUCUCUUGAGGCCCCUUCUAGUUCCAAUCAAUUAACAAACACUUUCUAAGCCCUGAUUAUGUGGAGUACUAUGCAAAGUGAUGGGGAUAGUAAUACAAAAUCAAGACAAUCCCCGACUCUUUUCACGUGGGGCUAUAAAGUAAAUGUCCUAUUUAAUUUUGAAGAUUCAAAGCAAACUAGAAGAAUUGAAGUGGAUUGUGUUGGCCUUAAACUAGAGAGGAGAUAUUGCUGUUUAAUAUUAAACCAUGUACAUACUUGUGGUGGGUCAUCCCAUCUUGUGUGAAUGAAGCUCUCUGAAAAGAUGGAGAACAAAUACCUAAUCAUCUAAGUUGGCUCAUGACAUUUUCAGGGUUUAAUUUGUUAUAGAUUUCACCAAAACACACACACACAUUCACGCAUGCACACACGCAUGCACACACACAAGCACUUACACAGAGUCCAAUUUUCCUUUCUGUUUACAAGCAAUCAUAUGUGAUUCCAGGCUCGGAACUGUAGAUGGCAUUCUAACACCUUUUUGGUUAAUUCUGCAUGAAAAAAGAAAGCUGAGUGUUGUAAAAGUCUAAAAUGCAUUACAAAUAAUAAUCUGAGCCUUUGUCUACAAAAUGGUAAAAAUGGUUAACUCUCAAAAUAUUCUUCAAACUCUGUCCCAAUUUGAUUCAACCCCAAAUCACCGACUAAGUUAAUACCAGUUUAAAAAAUAAAUUUUAUUGAUAUCUCUUGGUUUUGAUCAUCUAAAUUUACCCCCACCUCAUGUCUCUCCCUUUCCUCUCUCUUCCAGAGAUCUGUUGAAUAUUAUAAAAAUAUUUUUAUAAAAAGAGGAAAAAAGAAUCGGCAAAACGGAUCAAUACAGUUUUUAAAAAUCUGAUAAUAUAUGGCAUAUUCUAUACUGAUGGAAAACCUUUCCCUCCGCAAAGGAAUUGGCAUUUCUUUGGGACCAAGCCUACUCUUUGUAAUUUGCCAAUCUUUAUUUUCAAAUAUUUUGUGAUUAUUCCCAUGUACGUUGUUAUCAUCGUGUACAUUGUUUUCUUGGAUCGGCUUCACUUCGGAUCAGUUCAUCUAAGUCUUUCUAUUCCUCUCUAUAGUCACCACAUUCAUUGUUUCUUAUUGUAGGGACCAUAAUAUUCAAUCUGUUCAACUGUUCCUCCAAUAGGCAUUUACUUUGUUUCUAGUUCUUUCCUAAUACAAAAAAGUGCUGCCAUAACUAUUUUGGUCCAUAUAUGGGGCCUUUUUUUUAAUCAUUGACUUCCUGGGGGUAUAUGCCUUUCAGUGAGAUCUCUUACUGAGUGCUUCCUAGUUGGACUGAAAUCAAGUCAUCAACAUCUGAGAUUACCUCUCUCUUUCUCAAUAGAAUUUUCUCCAGCCUCUAUGAAUCUUUCUGCAUUAAUUCCUCAAUGUUUAGCACACGCCCAUCCAAUCAUACUCUGAUGAUCCUAGUGAUUCUGAACCUCCUGUUUGUUAUUUAUCAACCCCAUUCUCCAUCUCCCACUUUCUGCUCCCUUCCAUCCUGCUUCAGGCAUGCCCUCUGCCCUACUGCCAAGUCCCAACAAAAUGUCUCCUCCCUUCCUUUGGGCUUUCUAGUGAUGGCCUGGGAUGCAGGGUGGUGUCUUCUACCUCUCACCAAGUUCUAAGCAUUCCACAGCCCCCUUCAAGGCCAUUGGAACAAACCGUUCUCCUCUCCCUGCCAACAAUAACAGCUUUCUAGUAUGCCUGCUUCACAGCGAACAAACUUACUUUCAUCUUAAAACUAUUGCUUUCCCAUCUCCCUCAUGUCUCAGAGACGUGGCUCCCUUCUGAGGGCACAGCAUUCCUGCCACCCUUUUCAGAUCCAGCUCUACUUGCACUCGUACCCCGGGACUCCCUGUUAUGGUGGGGCAGUCGUGAUACUCCUCCCUGUUGUCACUUCCAGACAUUCCUUCUAGCACCAUCACCCUAGAGCUUAUUCUGUCUGUCUUCUCCAACAGAUUGCCCCCUUUGUAAUUCUUCUUUCACUCAUGUUCAGUCUCUGACUGUCUGCUGACUGCUUUCUUGCUACUGACACACAUGCUGCUGUCACUCCCAUCCUUGAAAACCCCUCACUUUAUCUGACCCACAAGCUACCUCUUGCCUCUUUAUGACUGACCUCCUUAAGAAAGCUUCCUACGGUGGAUGCCUCGACUUCCUCUCCCUUCAACUGUCUGCAGCCUGGCUUCUAACUUCAGCCAUUCUAUUGAAACUGCUCUCUCCAAAGUGACCAAAAGUCUCUCCAGUGCCAAAUCUAAGGGCCUUUUCUCACUCCUCAACCUUACUGACCUCUGCAGCCCUUCACACUGUUGGCCAUCGUCUUCUCCUGAUUACUUUUCUCUUCUCUAGGUUUUCAUACCACUGCUCUCUCUCUCUUGAUUCUCCUCCUACCUGUCUGACUGCCCCUUCUCAGUCUCCUUUGCUAGAUCUUCACGGAUGUCCCCCAAAGCUCAGUCCUGGGCUUUCUCCUCUAUUCCUUCCAUCCUCCCUACUUUGGUGAUUUUUAUCAGCUCCCGUGGAUUCAAUGAUCAUUUCUAUGCACAUGAUUCCCAGACCUAUUUAUCCAACCCUGAACUCCUCCUUAGCUUCCAGUAUCCUUUCACCAGCUACCUUUUGGACAUCCUUACUAGAUGUCUUGUAGACAUCUUAAACUACCCCAAACAGAAGCCAUCAUCUUGCCCCCUAGCCACCUCCCUUUUCAGAAUUUGCCUAUUUCUAUCCAGAAUACAACCAUGUCUCCAGGGACCGAGGCUUGCAACCAAGGUGUCAUCCUCAACUCCUCACUCACGCCACCCCCCCAUAUGUAAUCCCUUACUGAGUCCUUUCAGCUCUGCCUUUACAACUCCCUUAUAUAUAGUCCUUUCUCUUCAUUCACACAUCUGCACUCUGGUAUGGGCCUUCACCAACCCAUGACAGGCAGAACUCUUAUAACAGCUUUCUCAUUGCUCUCCUAGAAUGAAAGCUCUUUCUCAGUAACCAUGAUGACAUUUUCUUUUUCUCCUUCAAUCGUGUUUUCUUUUUUCUCAAUUACAUAGAAGAAUUGUUUUUAGCAUUUGUUUUCUAACAUCUUGAGUUCCAAAUUCUUGCCCUCCCUCCCUGAGAUAGCAUGCAAUUUGAUAUUGGUUAUGCAGUGCCUUUUUUUUAACAGGUGAUUACACUGAGGCAGAGAUUGACAGUUGCCUAAUGGUAAGUGUAAUGAAGUCAAGGGCUACUUUCUACAUGUAAAACAAUUAUUCCAUUCAGUCAUCAUCAUAGCCAAUUCGAGCUUAUUAAGUAUCUACUAGGUACCGGCCACUGUGCUAAGGAUACGAAUGAAAAAGGAAGAUUGUUCCUGUCCUCCAAGAGCUUCUGGUCUAAUGGGGGAAGACUACACACCAAAGGAAGCUGAAAAAGUGGAAGGGGCACCAGAAGGUACCUGGGACAUGGGGAGGGGAAAAUCCAUCACAUUCAUUCUUUGGCAUAAUGUAGGAUCUUAGAUGUUGUGUCACAAUGGGCAUGAGAGCCCUCAUCCAACCCUACUCAUGCCAAACACUCUUGGCUCUGUGCUCAGUACAGGCUCUAAAGAGGUGAGGGUUAAUCUUGCCAGCAUCAUGCAGCGGUAAGUAGAAGAGUCAAGGUGUCAAUCUAGGUACUCUGACUUUCAAGCCAAUCCCCUUCUCACUACACCAGCAUAUUUUAUUUUCUCGAUUCCAUCUAGUUUUAUGGCAUCAUUUGCACACAGCCAACAACUGCCCUCAGGUUGGAAAAGAGAGCUUCCGAUUUCCUCUACAGGUGGGUUGCCUGACUUUUUCAUUUUCAAACAGGUUGUUGGAGAGUCCUCUCUCCCUCCCAGGGCCUCUUUCGAGGAUGUCAGCCAAUGGCCUUUGGUGAGAAAUCCAGCCAACGACUGCAUAUCCAGGUCCUGGUUGAAAUUGUCCCUACUCUGGGAGUUCUUGGACGUUGGAAUUGUAAAAAGACUGCUGCCUUCAGAGCCAGUAGAGGUAGGCUCAGAGCUCACGUUGGGGCCUUGUGGUGUUGGGUCGAUCUCUUCAGUUUGGCUUAGCUAGAAAACGGGGUGGUUUGGACUAGUUGGUCUCAGAGCUCCCUUGCAGCUCUAAAUCCUACGGUGUCUGAGCUACCCUGAUGUCAGAGGAGGAACCCUGGGUGUUUGACAUUUACAUGGCGCAUGUAAAACAAAAACCAGACCAAACUGGAGUUUUUCUCUGGCCCUGGGGCAUUGUAGAAAAUGUCUAAUUACCACCUAGCGCAUUCUAUAUCUUCACUAAUAGGGCUGGGACAAAAGUGUGCCACUCCCAGUGUGGGGGCCAAGGAUGAGGGGAGGAUUUGUUUAAAAGAACGAGAUGUUUUCCUUCAUGGGAGCUAUAAUAAUACAAGUUUGGUACCGAUAAAUAUUGUCCUUUCCAAGCACUUUUUAAGAAAUAUUGAUGGUUUGAAACACCAGCUCAGGAUGAGGUGGAUAUAUUUCAAUUUAAAUGGUUCCCUCUCCAGCCAUCUCCUUCACUCUGGGAAGCAGUCCAAUUCCGACAAUCUCUUGUGUUUCUGGGGUGUGGAAUCUUUCAUUCCAGGAGCGUCAAAGCAAUCCUAAGGGGCUCUUAAAGAAGGACAGGAGCCUGGGAGGGAGACUUCAAAAUGUUGGCAAGUAGACAAAUAAAAUACCCUUCAGUUUAAAAUGAAUGCAAAAUAUUGUGAAACUGUGUCUCUGAGAUGAUUCCCAAUGUGUCAUUUCAAAAACAUUGGCCAGUGCUCACAAAGAAAGGGCUGUGCUUACCCCUAACCUCCAAAUAAUAAGUAUUCAAAAUAUCCUUUUCAUGAAGAUUCUCAUUCAUAAGUUAAGACGUCCUCUUUAUUAGCCAAACAACAUUUGAAUAUCUUGAAAAAACUCUUUCCCCCAUUCAUCUUCUUUUAAGUGAAAUAAUUGAAAUGAUUAUUUUCCAUUCGUAACUUGAAAAGUCUCUAGUUAAACGAUUUUCGGGGAGGGGUUGGAGGUACGCUUUUCUAAAAAGCUCAUUUAGGACGUGAAUGUAUGGAUAGUAGGGGAGGGUUUAUUUUUAUUCAGAGUAGAAAGUGAAGGGAAAAGCCGUGUCCUCUUCUGCUUGCCUCAUUUUCUUCCUUGGCUCCCCUCUCCCAUGAUACCCAUGGGAUUUUUUUCACCUUCUAUUGUAGAAAGUAGAUUGGUUAGGACUUUCUCACAGUUUAUGGAUGUUAAUCUCUCAUUGGUCCAAGACACAGAUGCCGGAGAUAGAAGAAGAAGAAGAAAAGCCUUUUUCUUCUAGAAUGUUCUUUCUCAGUGGCAUCCUUUGCCCUAGGGAUUUAGAACCCUUGUUUUCAGCCAGAUUCUCAGAAUUCAGGAAAUGUGGUCUUAUGGCUAGAGUACUGGCCCUCAUAUCAGGGCACCUCUCUUCACAUCCUGGCUCCCACGCUUCCUGCCUGUGUAACUAUUGGCAAAUCGCUUUCAUCAUCUGUCAAAGGGGGACGGUACUACCUACCUCUCUCUCUUGUGUUAUUGUGGAACAAAGUGCUUUGUAGACCUCAAAGCACCAUAUCAAUGUGAGCUCUUAGUCUAUAAUAAGCAGUCUUCACUGCUGAAAAUGUCUGUAGAGAGAAGUUCUGGGAGGUUAACUAAAAUCGGAGAGGGAAGCCCCCCUCCCUUUGAUCACAGCUACUUUGUUGUGGUGUCGCUGGAUUUUAAAAGGGCCUGAAAGCUUAGACAUGGAGAGAAGACUCCCUCUCUAAUAGCUGGGAAUAGAACUGACUGCUCAUUAGACUGAACCAACUAGUCAAUUGUGCCCAAACUGCUGACCCGUUAGACAGAGGCCAGGCUUGUUGAUAAGGGUGAUUUGCUAUGUUGGGCAACCUAGAGUUGUUUUCACUGGGGGAGGAGAGUCAAAUUUGCAUCAUGUUCCUAAAUUGUGGAAAUAAAUUGAAGAAUGAUUGGCAUGACCUGGAAAUCCCUCAAUACUUAGGAUAUGUUCCUUCCAGUAAGGACAGUCCACCAUCUCUCUGGUUUUUUUUAACCCCUCGCCUUCCAUCUUAGAAUCACUACUGUGUAUUGGUUCCAAGACAGAAGAGUGCUAAGAGCUAGGCCAUGGGAGUCAAGUGACUUGCCCAGGGUCACACAGCUAAGAAGUUUCUGAGGUCAGAUUUGAACCCAGGACCUCUGUCUCUAGGCCUGGCUCUCAAUCCACUGAGCUACCCAGCUGCCCCCCCAGCCCACCGUCUCUUAAGAGGAGUUGGAAGGAUAUCAGAACUGGAUGAGACAAGAGUUGCUUGAGUUUAAGAUCGGUGACCCUACAGCCCUUCCCCAUAAUUGAGUUAGUACAGAACAAAAUUCUCUUGCUUUUGACAGCCCAAAAGACCUUAAACUUAGUGUGAUCAGCCUCAGACCUCUACAAAUGACUGAAGUGGACAUCAAUGAGACAGACUAUGGAUGAGAAGCCCACCUGGGAGGGGAGGGGGCAGCAUCCUUUGGGAAAAAAUGGUAUAUUCUGCUGAGAAAGACAUAUUUCUGAUUUGGUUCUUGCUAAUAGCAAGAGAAGUGGGGAAGAGUUAUAGGAGGCAAGAAAAGGCAAAAAAUUAGGUGCCACUAGCAGAAGCCAAUCCUAUAGAUUCCAAGGGAACAACUUUGGGAUGAAUGAAAUAAUGUGGCAUGUGGAAAGGAUAUUGGAUGGCUUGGAAAUGCCCAUAUCUCCUAGCUGCAUGACCAUGGGCAAGUCAUUUACUCUCUUUGGGCUUCCUGUCCUCAUUUGCAAAAUGAAGACUCUGGAUUCAAUGACUUCCGCAGUCCUUUGGAGCUCUGAGGUUACAACCUUUGGUUUUUAUUGACUUGGCAAUGCUGCAGGGCAGAGUCAUCUUGUCAUCGUUGCUCAUAUCAAAUAAUAUUUCCUCUCUGUUAUUAUUUGAGGAGAGGCAUCUCAUGAAUAACCGUGUCUGCAGUUUGGAAAGUGCCAGGCUCUCUAGUAGGGCCUAUUUCUCACGUCUCUGAGAAUGGCAUGCACCAACUGAUUUGGGGCAUUCCUAGAAGGUAUCCUGGGUCCAUCUUUAACGUAAAGAUUACGGCUGUCAGAGAGAUUGAAUUAUCUACCUAGAGCCAAUAUGCUUACAAAGCCUUUUUACUCUCCAAUGUUUCCAGAUGAUUUCUUUGGAGCCAGCAUGGUAAAUGGAACCGAAUGAAUCGAGAGCCAGGAAGACCUGAGUUCAUAUCCUGUCUUUUACUUACUAGGAAAUGCCCACACUGGGAGUUUCACCCACUGAUGAAGUCACAGAUCCUUCACAUGUCCAGCUCGUAGAAAUUGAGAGUACUGAUGGUGUGAAGUAGAAUGAAGCAACAUAUGGUAACAGGCCUGGGAGUCAGAAGAUCUGAGUUCAAGUCUCAGCACUAACACAUAUUAACUACAGACCCAUUGUGUGAUGUAGAGAAGGGGUCCACAGGCUUCAUUGGUCCACCAAAGGGGUUCAAGAUAAAAAAGGGUAAGUAAGCAGCCUUGUUCUAGAGGAUGAGAGCGGUAAUCCUUCCUGGUUAACAUCUGUGAUCUCCAGCUCCCCGGCUGCUGCAGCUCCUCAGUUCUCCCCCUCGCUUCCUUCGGUAAGGUGGCCUUUUUUGACAGUUCAAAGACAGAACCUUUAUUAAAUCUGAUGUCAACCUUGAAGACAAGCAUUUGCCAUGGUAAUAAUCUUGUGGGCGCCUGCUUGCUGAUUUGCAUACUCAGCAUGUAGAUCUGAAUGCUGCUGUCAGGAGCACCUGUAUUCUGGUUCCUUCGUGCUCCCUGGGACAUUUUCAGGAUUUUCUGCUUCUAGUUAGAAUAGUAAUGAUGAAAUUUAUAGUCAAGAAACAUUUCUGGAUCCUGCUGAGAAUCCAUUCAUUGAAAGCGAGAGAGGGGGCCUUUGGGGUGUACCUCCUGCCUAUCCAUGUCUUUUAUUAUUAGGGUC